UGGGAUGUAGCUCAGAUGGUAGAGUGCUUGUCUAACACUCAUGAAGCCCUGGCUUUGGUCCCCAGCAUCUCAU
rnacentral:tRNA from 1 species